CCUGGCACCAGGAUGUCGCCGAAGCCCAGCAGGGAGAAGGGCCGAUCGCACAGGGCGAGGGGUGAGGAGUUCAAGCGCGGCACCUUGAGCACCAUCGGAAGCUGCGGCGGACAAAAUCCAGCUGGGAACCAACUCUUCAGAGAGAGAAUGCGCCGCGUGAAAUGAGCGAGAAGUCGCAACUUGGAACGGAGAGGCAUCUGUGAAGCUACCUUGGUGAAGAAGGGCGUGAUGAAUACAAAAAAGACGUCGUAGAUGAAGAGCACUGUCAGUAGUAAGGUGCAAGCCUGCCGCGGAGGAAAUGAAGAAAUAUGGCCACGUCACUUCAUACCUUUAAAGAUAUUUUGAUCUUCUCCUACCUUAAAUGUGGGCAGUCUGACAGUUUUGAGCAUGUAGAGACAGAAGGCGAUGCCCAGGGUGUCCUGCAGCACCCACGCCCACCUUGGAAAAACCUUGGUGACUUUUUGUUCAGCAAAUAACACCGUCUUUCCACUCACUGGUCCUCGUUGCGAAACACCAUCCAGGUGAUGCUGAUGCCCACGCACAGUGUUGACAGGAGCAGGGCGCGGACUUGAGGACGCUUGUGCAAGUAGGGAAGGUUGUUCUCUGGAACUCUGUGUCGGGCAGAAGGAAUGGAGUAGCUCAGGUUCUUAUUUGUGCUGGGGCUCUGUUCCAAAGCCUCACAAAGAUCGAUGGCUCACUGCUUUUGGAGUAAGGCGUCAACUGUCUCACCUGCACUUGCAGAAAGGAAUGCGGCGCACAAAAGGCCACAAGCAGCUGUAGAGGCCCACGGACGAUGCCAGGCAGAAAAUGCCGAUCACCCAAAUUGCUGCAACCGUGGAGAAAAUGACGUAAGAACAUCUACUCACAUGUACUUGUUCCAAGUGUGCACGUGUGUGUUACCCAGGCUGUCGUAGAAGAAGUAGAGCAACACCAGCAUGCUGCAGCACAUGACCACAAACACGCAGAUCAUGAUGGGCGUCACGUCCAGAGUCUCCUCGUCCUGCUUGUCCGCCCCGUCGUCACGCUUAUGCUUCAUGUAGCGCCUGGGUGCGGAAGAAGGAAGACAAGGUAGAUACCAUCAGGGAGUGCUGUGUUUUUUAUUCAUGUGGAAGACCCCCCCCUACGCCUUACUUCUUGCGGUCCUUGCUACCAGCCCAAUGGCCACCGACUGCGACAGUUCCCACAGCCAUGAGGAAGAUGAUAACCAUGUUGUAGUCCAGCACCGGCUCUUUGGGGGCAUACAUGGCCACCUGUCUGCUCUUGGCAAACGUCUACCGCCGAAACCAUCAGUCAACUCAAGUGUGACAUUCAGGCAUUGUUAGCAAAGGGGAUAUACAUUUUGAAAAAGGAAGAACCUUGCUUAUCUCCAGCAUGUCAGAGUAGCUGAGCAACGCGACGGGGAUGUCGAUUUCCUCGUACUGAGUCUUGUUCCCCGCCGGCGGCGUCUGAAUUCAAACCAAAGCAAACUGCCAGGCGCCACCACAUCCAACGGGAACCGGUUCCAUCCGAAUGUUACCACUUACCAGUCUGUCCUUGCUGACGAUGAGCAGACCCUUGGCCCCGCUCAUCUGUGCCAGGCGGACCUUCUCGUAGAAAGUGCAGUUACCCCUCAUCACCAUGGCGAUGCGGUUGGGGAAGCCCCCCUCGGGAACGUCGGUGGGUGAGCACAGGACCGACGAGGUGAGGUCGUAGAUCUGGAGACGCGUCUGCAAAGACGAGGGAGGGACCUAAUGGAGGUCUCCCUGGAUAUACAUGGAAGCUGGGUACUAGUUGAGUACUCACCGCCUUGUUGAGAUCCUGAGGCAGACGUGCCCACUGCGAGUUAAAGAAGAUGCAGUAGUCCUUCCCUUUGCUUUCAUCGCUGAAAUGAGCCAUGCCGUGCUCUGCUGCCACCUGUAUCCAUGGACGGGGAUCAAAACAGUGGUGCUUUGAGAUACAAAUAGAUGCCAGAGUUUUCAAGGAACUAAUUCGACUCGUAUCUCAAGGUCCUGUUUUGUAACCACUUUUGGCGUUAUUCACCUAAAAUGGCCGUUGACGUGGAAAUGACUCAUGGAAAAUAACCUUGUACACUCAAGGGACACAUCAUUAGGUACACUAAUACACCGGAACGGUCAAAACAAGACCAGUUAAAGACGUAUCAUCUUUGACAAUAGCAGGUAGAUAGAUGUUCCAAGCAUGACUGGAUCUUACUAGCAUUAGUGCUAGGUAACAAAAGGUAGUGAUGGCACACCGCGGUUGACCGUGAAACAUUCUAGUAAGAUUCAAAAGCAAAAGGUCUUGUGUUAUGAUUCAUCUAAUACACUUAUGAAUAGAAUGGAGUAAAACGUCACGCUUCCACCGCGGUGACGUUUUAGCUCGAAUGCUAGCAGUUAGCUCCACCCACUCUCAUCCAAAAUGACUCGAGUGCGGACGUGCAAGCAUUUAAAACAUCGUUUAACACUGUUACAGUUGAGCGACAUGAUGCUACUAGGUUGCCAUUUAGUGACAUAUUUGACCAAGCUAGUAAGAGGGAAAAUUGAGGGUUUUGUUUUGAUCAACGAGGUGACGUUGUGGCUAGCACGACGCUCGUCGCCGGGCUCAUCAGGAAAAGCCCACCGCGGGGAAGGGGAUUUUAGGGAGAAAAAAUGUUGUUUUAAGUCUCGCCCACCCACCUGGUGGAUGACAAAAAGAGCGGCCCAGGUUAGCGCUCCGAGGCCGGGGACCGUCAUUGUGAAUCCAGGCUCGUAUGUUGCUGCUCUGAGCCCCAUCCAAGAGAAAUGCAGCCCACCGCUAACUGGCUUGAAGACACGCCCAUUCAAUGACGCCACACCCGGAAAUGUUCCAUAGUACGUACAUAAAGAAUUUAAAAAAAAGAAUAAACUAUUCCUACUGGAA